rnacentral:rRNA from 1 species
AUUGAACGCUGGCGGCAGGCCUAACACAUGCCAGUCGAACGGUAACAGGAAGCAGCUUGCUGCUUUGCUGACGAGUGGCGGACGGGUGAGUAAUGUCUGGGAAACUGCCCGAUGGAGGGGGAUAACUACUGGAAACGGUAGCUAAUACCGCAUAACGUCGCAAGACCAAAGAGGGGGACCUUAGGGCCUCUUGCCAUCGGAUGUGCCCAGAUGGGAUUAGCUAGUAGGUGGGGUAACGGCUCACCUAGGCGACGAUCCCUAGCUGGUCUGAGAGGAUGACCAGCCACACGGGAACUGAGACACGGUCCAGACUCCUACGGGAGGCAGCAGUGGGGAAUAUUGCACAAUGGGCGCAAGCCUGAUGCAGCCAUGCCGCGUGUAUGAAGAAGGCCUUCGGGUUGUAAAGUACUUUCAGCGGGGAGGAAGGGAGUAAAGUUAAUACCUUUGCUCAUUGACGUUACCCGCAGAAGAAGCACCGGCUAACUCCGUG